GUGAAGCACACCUCUCUUAGCUGCUCCCAACUGCUCUAGUUGCCCAUACAUGCCAACUGCUCCAGCUGCCCAUACUUGCCAACUGCUCCAGCAGCCCAAUACAUGCUUUGGUUGACUUUUGUUCAUCUUUCUGAGGUCGCAUGCUGAUUUGUCUCCCAUAUGUGGCUGCUCUAAUGUGAUAGCACAUUGCUCUAGGGAUGUAGCCACAUUAACUGUGGUG
rnacentral:lncRNA from 1 species